UGAGGAAUAUUGGUCAAUGGACGAGAGUCUGAACCAGCCAAGUAGCGUGCAGGAUGACGGCCCUAUGGGUUGUAAACUGCUUUUGUUUGGGAAUAAUCGACAUUACGUGUAAUGUUUUGCAUGUACCAUUCGAAUAAGGACCGGCCAAUUCCGUGCCAGCAGCCGCGGUAAUACGGAAGGUCCAGGCGUUAUCCGGAUUUAUUGGGUUUAAAGGGAGUGUAGGCGGUUGGUUAAGCGUGUUGUGAAAUGUAGAUGCUCAACAUCUGACUUGCAGCUCGAACUGGAUGACUUGAGUACACACAACGUAGGCGGGAUUCAUGGUGUAGCGGUGAAAUGCUUAGAUAUCAUGAAGAACUCCGAUUGCGGAGGCAGGUUACGGGAGUGUUACAGACGCUUAAGCUCGAAGGUGCGGGUAUCGAACAGG
rnacentral:rRNA from 1 species